rnacentral:rRNA from 1 species
UACGUAGGAUGCGAGCGUUGUCCGGAAUUAUUGGGCGUAAAGCGAACGUAGGCGGUUUGUUAAGUCGGCGCUUAAAGACCUGGGCUCAACCCGGGGAAUGGCGUGGAAACUGGCAGGCUGGAGGACGUCAGAGGGAAGUGGAAUUCCUAGUGUAGCGGUGAAAUGCGUAGAUAUUAGGAGGAACACCAGUGGCGAAAGCGACUUCCUGGGGCGUUCCUGACGCUGAGGUUCGAAAGCUCGGGGAG